GUAUUAAUGCCACUUCAGUUUCUGUAUGCAAUUUAAAAUCUCAAAUUAUAGGGAUUUGACGACACUACCAUUACUACAAAGUUAUUCUGGCUAAUUAUAAUAAACUACAUACAAGAAAAAAUGGGUGGGAAAAUGUGUUUAUCUCAAAUAAAAGUGGAAACUUAACCCCCCGAAAAGAAUACAGAUAAUUGAAAUGAUUUAAUUUACUUAUAAAUCUACCUAAAUGAGAUAACAAAUGUAUAUUUGUGCUUCUGUUUAUUUAGACUGGGAUAUAGCUGACAAUAAAAAUAACUGAAAAUACUGAAAACUAACUGAAACUAAUUCCAAUUUAAAAGAAAAAAUAAAACACUAAAUUAAAACAAAAAAAAGAGGAUUAUAAAACUAUAAAUACAUCGUCUAAUAAUUUUGAGGCGAUUGAAAAGUCCUUUUGAGCUUUUAUUUUUUUACAGUUAACUGACUGACUUCCGGUUAUGGCUUUUCUAACUGAGUGCCUCUCCGCGCAGCCUGUACUCUUCAAGCCCCAUCAAACACGAGUCCGUCGGUCUGGCUGCGCAAGGCAACUGAACACUACGAGCAGCGAGUGGUUAUUCCAGCCCAAACCUCCAACUUAGCAAACAGUGUUAGCUCUAAAUAUCAUCCCUGUCCGUCGGUAAGCGCUGCACUUUGCUUUCCGCUUCCUUCUGAGGACUUCAACUCGCGCUGGUCAAAUUGUCGGCAGACCAAAUACGGAGAAAUAAAACGAAAUAACGGACACGUCUCGGCUGAAAUGCACGGCUGUUGUUACUGUCUUUUGAGGAGGAGGGUGUCCGACACAGAGCUGUAGUUUCUCUUCCAAGAAGGCGAGGAAUGCAAGCUGAGCAUCAAUGUUUCACUGGGGCAAGUGGAAGAAGAGGAUGGGAGCCAACAGUUCUUCAAAGAGACCCGUUUUCGACGAAAAGGAAGAUGUACACAGGCUCAGUUAUCAAAGUUCCUGUUAGGAAAUUAAACGCUGUCAAAGGAGUUUAGACGGAGUUUGGCUGCUCACGGCGAACAGACAGUGUUCAUGUGGGACAUUUUCAAGGCUUGAAGUCAAACUUUCUACUACAGGAGGCAGCAGCAACAAUAAUAAUGAUAAUAAUAAAAAUAAUAAUGCGAGAUUAAAUGUACAUUUUCAUCACAUGACCUGAUGCUGACUGCAUAUACAUGGAAAGACCCCGAGCAGGUGAAAUAAAU
ensembl:lncRNA